rnacentral:tRNA from 1 species
UCCGAUGUCGCUCAAUGGCGAGAGCGUCCGAUUGUUAAUCGGAAGAUCGGGGUUCGAGUCCCUGCAUCGGAG